GCAAGCGUUAAUCGGAAUUACUGGGCGUAAAGCGUGCGCAGGCGGUUUGGUACGUCUGUUGUGAAAUCCCCGAGCUCAACUUGGGAAUUGCAAUGGAUACUGGCAGGCUGGAGUAUGGUAGAGGAAGGUGGAAUUCCCGGUGUAGCAGUGAAAUGCGUAAAGAUCGGGAGGAACACCAGUGGCGAAGGCGGCCAUCUGGGACAACACUGACGCUGAAGCACGAAAGCGUGGGGAGCAAACAGG
rnacentral:rRNA from 1 species